UACGGAGGAGGCAAGCGUUAUCCGGAAUUAUUGGGCGUAAAGCGUCCGCAGGUGGCCCCUCAAGUCUGCUGUCAAAGACCGGGGCUUAACCCCAGAAAGGCAGUGGAAACUGAAGUGCUAGAGUGCAGUAGGGGUAGAGGGAAUUCCCGGUGUAGCGGUGAAAUGCGUAGAGAUCAGGCGGAACACCCGUGGCGAAGGCGGCCAGCUGGGCCGUCCCUGACGCUGAGGCGCGAAGGCGUGGGGAGCGAACGGG
rnacentral:rRNA from 1 species